rnacentral:rRNA from 1 species
UACGGAGGGUGCAAGCGUUAUCCGGAUUCACUGGGCUUAAAGGGUGCGUAGGUGGAUUAGUAAGUCAGUGGUGAAAUCUCCGGGCUUAACCCGGAAACUGCCAUUGAUACUAUUAGUCUUGAAUACCGUGGAGGUCAGCGGAAUAUGUCAUGUAGCGGUGAAAUGCUUAGAUAUGACAUAGAACACCAAUUGCGAAGGCAGCUGGCUACACGAAUAUUGACACUCAGGCACGAAAGCGUGGGGAUCAAACAGG